rnacentral:rRNA from 1 species
UACGUAGGGUGCGAGCGUUAAUCGGAAUUACUGGGCGUAAAGCGUGCGCAGGCGGUUGGCAAAGUCAGCUGUGAAAUCCCCGGGCUCAACCUGGGAAUGGCAGUGGAUACUGGCAAGCUAGAGUGCGGUAGAGGGUAGUGGAAUUCCCGGUGUAGCAGUGAAAUGCGUAGAGAUCGGGAGGAACACCAGUGGCGAAGGCGGCUACCUGGACCAGCACUGACACUGAAGCACGAAAGCGUGGGGAGCAAACAGG